rnacentral:rRNA from 1 species
UACGAAGGGGGCUAGCGUUGUCCGGAAUUACUGGGCGUAAAGCGCACGCAGGCGGCUCGAUAAAUUAGAAGUGAAAGCCCCGGGCUUAACCUGGGAAUUGCUUUUAAGACUGUCGGGCUAGAAUCCAGAAGAGGGUAGUGGAAUUCCGAGUGUAGAGGUGAAAUUCGUAGAUAUUCGGAAGAACACCAGUGGCGAAGGCGACUACCUGGUCUGGCAUUGACGCUCAUGUGCGAAAGCGUGGGGAGCAAACAGG